rnacentral:rRNA from 1 species
UACAGAGGGUGCGAGCGUUAAUCGGAAUUACUGGGCGUAAAGGGCGCGUAGGCGGUCUAUCAAGUGAGAUGUGAAAUCCCCGGGCUUAACCUGGGAACUGCAUCUUAAACUGAUAGGCUGGAGUACUGUAGAGGAUAGUGGAAUUUCCGGUGUAGCGGUGAAAUGCGUAGAGAUCGGAAGGAACAUCAGUGGCGAAGGCGACUGUCUGGACAGAUACUGACGCUGAGGCGCGAAAGCGUGGGGAGCAAACAGG